GGGUGAUUAGCUCAGUUGGUUAGAGCACUUCUCUUACAAAGAAGGGGUCAGUGGUUCGUCAGGUCAUCCG
rnacentral:tRNA from 1 species